rnacentral:rRNA from 1 species
AUCUAUGACCACGCUAACCAGAACAAACCUGAUCUCAUCUGAUCUCGGAAGCUAAGCAGGGUCGGACCUAGUUAGUACUUGGAUGGGAGACCACCUAGGGGGUUGCCUCGCCUAAAAC